AGUCUGGUGCCAGCAGCCGCGGUAAUUCCAGCUCCAAUAGCGUAUAUUAAAGUUGCUGCGGUUAAAAAGCUCGUAGUUGGAUUUUGGAACCUGAAUGGUUGGUCGGGCACUCCCUGUACUGACCAUUCGGUUCUUCUGUCUGGAGACUCCUCGUUCCUUCUUAACUGAAGGGCUUGGGGGAUCUAGGACUUUUACUUUGAACAAAUUGGAGUGCCCAACGCAGGCCUAUGCCUUGAAUACAUUAGCAUGGAAUAACGUAUAGGACUUUGGUUCUAUUUUGUUGGUUUUAAGGACCGAAGUAAUGAUUAAUAGGGAUAGUUGGGGGCAUUAAUAUUUAAUUGUCAGAGGUGAAAUUCUUAGAUUUAUGAAAGAUUAACUUCUGCGAAAGCAUUUGCCAAGGAUGUUUUCAUUAAUCAAGAACGAAAGUUAGGGGAUCGAAGACGAUCAGAUACCGUCGUAGUCUUAACCAUAAACUAUGCCGACUAGGGAUUGGAAGAAGUUAUUUUCACGACUCCUUCAGCACCUUAUGAGAAAUCAAAGUCUUUGGGUUCCGGGGGGAGUAUGGUCGCAAGGCUGAAACUUAAAGGAAUUGACGGAAGGGCACCACCAGGAGUGGAGCCUGCGGCUUAAUUUGACCCAACACGGGAAAACUUACCAGGUCCAGACAUAGUAAGGAUUGACAGAUUGAGAGCUCUUUCUUGAUUCUAUGGGUGGUGGUGCAUGGCCGUUCUUAGUUGGUGGAGUGAUUUGUCUGCUUAAUUGCGAUAACGAACGAGACCUUAACCUACUAAAUAGUUACGCGAACCUUUGUGUUCGCGGCCAACUUCUUAGAGGGACUUUUGCGUGCUUUAACCAAAGGAAGUUUGAGGCAAUAACAGGUCUGUGAUGCCCUUAGAUGUUCUGGGCCGCACGCGCGCUACACUGAUACGUUCAGCGAGUUUACAACCUUGACCGAUAGGUCUGGGUAAUCUUAAAAAGCGUAUCGUGAUGGGGAUAGAUCUUUGUAAUUAUGGAUCUUCAACGAGGAAUUCCUAGUAAACGCGAGUCAUCAGCUCGCAUUGAUUACGUCCCUGCCCUUUGUACACACCGCCCGUCGCUCCUACCGAUUGAAUGGUCCGGUGAGCUCUUCGGACUGACUGGGUCCCUCUGGAAACAGAGGCCUGCGUCGGGAAGUUGCGCUAACCUUAUCAUUU
rnacentral:rRNA from 1 species